rnacentral:rRNA from 1 species
CUUUGACGUUAGCGGCGGACGGGUGAGUAACACGUGGAUAACCUACCUAUAAGACUGGGAUAACUUCGGGAAACCGGAGCUAAUACCGGAUAACAUAUUGAACCGCAUGGUUCAAUAGUGAAAGGCGGCUUUGCUGUCACUUAUAGAUGGAUCCGCGCCGUAUUAGCUAGUUGGUAAGGUAACGGCUUACCAAGGCAACGAUACGUAGCCGACCUGAGAGGGUGAUCGGCCACACUGGAACUGAGACACGGUCCAGACUCCUACGGGAGGCAGCAGUAGGGAAUCUUCCGCAAUGGGCGAAAGCCUGACGGAGCAACGCCGCGUGAGUGAUGAAGGUCUUCGGAUCGUAAAACUCUGUUAUCAGGGAAGAACAAAUGUGUAAGUAACUGUGCACAUCUUGACGGUACCUGAUCAGAAAGCCACGGCUAACUACGUGCCAGCAGCCGCGGUAAUACGUAGGUGGCAAGCGUUAUCCGGAAUUAUUGGGCGUAAAGCGCGCGUAGGCGGUUUUUUAAGUCUGAUGUGAAAGCCCACGGCUCAACCGUGGAGGGUCAUUGGAAACUGGAAAACUUGAGUGCAGAAGAGGAAAGUGGAAUUCCAUGUGUAGCGGUGAAAAUGCGCAGAGAUAUGGAGGAAACACCAGUGGCGAAGGCGACUUUUCUGGUCUGUAACUGACGCUGAUGUGCGAAAGCGUGGGGGAUCAAACAGGAUUAGAUACCCUGGUAGUCCACGCC